GAUGAACGCUGGCGGCGUGCCUAAUACAUGCAAGUCGAGCGAACAGACGAGGAACUUGCUCCUCUGACGUUAGCGGCGGACGGGUGAGUAACACGUGGAUAACCUACCUAUAAGACUGGGAUAACUUCGGGAAACCGGAGCUAAUACCGGAUAAUAUAUUGAACCGCAUGGUUCAAUAGUGAAAGACGGUUUUGCUGUCACUUAUAGAUGGAUCCGCGCCGCAUUAGCUAGUUGGUAAGGUAACGGCUUACCAAGGCAACGAUGCGUAGCCGACCUGAGAGGGUGAUCGGCCACACUGGAACUGAGACACGGUCCAGACUCCUACGGGAGGCAGCAGUAGGGAAUCUUCCGCAAUGGGCGAAAGCCUGACGGAGCAACGCCGCGUGAGUGAUGAAGGUCUUCGGAUCGUAAAACUCUGUUAUUAGGGAAGAAUAAAUGUGUAAGUAACUAUGCACGUCUUGACGGUACCUAAUCAGAAAGCCACGGCUAACUACGUG
rnacentral:rRNA from 1 species